rnacentral:rRNA from 1 species
ACUCCUACGGGAGGCAGCAGUGGGGAAUAUUGCACAAUGGGCGCAAGCCUGAUGCAGCCAUGCCGCGUGUAUGAAGAAGGCCUUCGGGUUGUAAAGUACUUUCAGCAGUGAGGAAGGCGGAGUCGUUAAUAGCGGCCUCGUUUGUACGUUAGCUGCAGAAGAAGCACCGGCUAACUCCGUGCCAGCAGCCGCGGUAAUACGGAGGGUGCGAGCGUUAAUCGGAAUUACUGGGCGUAAAGCGCAUGCAGGUGGUUUGUUAAGUCAGAUGUGAAAGCCCGGGGCUCAACCUCGGAAUUGCAUUUGAAACUGGCAGACUAGAGUACUGUAGAGGGGGGUAGAAUUUCAGGUGUAGCGGUGAAAUGCGUAGAGAUCUGAAGGAAUACCGGUGGCGAAGGCGGCCCCCUGGACAGAUACUGACACUCAGAUGCGAAAGCGUGGGGAGCAAACAGGAUUAGAUACCCUGGUAG